rnacentral:rRNA from 1 species
GGGCCCGCACAAGCGGUGGAGCAUGUGGUUUAAUUCGAUGAUACGCGAGGAACCUUACCAGGGCUUAAAUGCAGAACGACCGGGGUGGAAACACCCCUUCUUCGGCGGUCUGCAAGGUGCUGCAUGGUUGUCGUCAGCUCGUGCUGUGAAGUGUCGGGUUAAGUCCCAUAACGAGCGCAACCCCUAUUUCUAGUUGCCAGCGGUUCGGCCGGGGACUCUAGAGAAACUGCCUGCGUAAGCAGUGAGGAAGGUGGGGAUGACGUCAAAUCAUCACGGCCCUUACGUCCUGGGCCACACACGUGCUACAAUGGUGGGGACAACAAGUUGCCAACCCGCGAGGGUGAGCUAAUCUCAAAACCCCAUCUCAGUUCGGAUCGGAGUCUGCAACUCGACUCCGUGAAGUUGGAAUCGCUAGUAA